rnacentral:rRNA from 1 species
GAUGAACGCUAGCGGCAGGCUUAACACAUGCAAGUCGAGGGGCAGCAGGGAGUAGCAAUACUCUGCUGGCGACCGGCGCACGGGUGCGUAACGCGUAUGCAACCUGCCUCACACAGGGGGAUAACAGUUGGAAACGGCUGUUAAUACCGCAUAAGACCACAGUACCGCAUGGUACAGGGGUAAAAACUCCGGUGGUGUGAGAUGGACCCGCGUCUGAUUAGUUAGUUGGCGGGGUAACGGCCCACCAAGACGACGAUCAGUAGCCGAUCCGAGAGGAUGACCGGCCACAUUGGGACUGAGACACGGCCCAAACUCC